GGACACAGAAAAAGAAGGGAUCAAUGAAUUCAAAGUUCAUCUGCAUCUCGUUAUUGGGCCACAAGAAAUAGCAACCAGACCCUCAGUUUGGUCUGGCAACAAGACUGCAACAUCAACUCAUCUCUGCCCAACUGCCCUAUGAAUUUCAGACUUGAAAGCCCCACAAUCGCAGAUCUACUGGCAGAGGACGAACGCCUUACUGGCUCAAGAUGUCUGAGGCAACCACUGUCCAAGCACUGGGUGACCACUGAUCACUAAGCUAUGCAGACAGGAAGGCAACUCCUAGAAAGCCAUGCUUAAAAAUGAAAACAAUUAUAAAGUGUGUGCAUG